UACGUAUGGAGCAAGCGUUAUCCGGAUUUACUGGGUGUAAAGGGAGCGCAGGCGGUCUGGCAAGUCUGAUGUGAAAGGCCGGGGCUCAACCCCGGGACUGCAUUGGAAACUGUCAGACUGGAGUGUCGGAGAGGUAAGCGGAAUUCCUAGUGUAGCGGUGAAAUGCGUAGAUAUUAGGAGGAACACCAGUGGCGAAGGCGGCUUACUGGACGAUGACUGACGCUGAGGCUCGGAAGCGUGGGGAGCAAACAGG
rnacentral:rRNA from 1 species